rnacentral:rRNA from 1 species
UGGGGAAUAUUGGACAAUGGGCGGAAGCCUGAUCCAGCAACGCCGCGUGAGGGAUGACGGCCUUCGGGUUGUAAACCUCUUUCAGCACAGGCGAAGCUCAUCUCACGUGUGGGGUGGGUGACGGUAUGUGCAGAAGAAGCACCGGCCACCUACGUGCCAGCAGCCGCGGUAAUACGUAGGGUGCGAGCGUUGUCCGGAAUUAUUGGGCGUAAAGGGCUCGUAGGCGGUUUGUCGCGUCGGGAGUGAAAUCCACUGGCUUAACUGGUGGCUUGCUUUCGAUACGGGCAGACUGGAGGUAUGCAGGGGAGAACGGAAUUCCUGGUGUAGCGGUGAAAUGCGCAGAUAUCAGGAGGAACACCGGUGGCGAAGGCGGUUCUCUGGGCAUGUCCUGACGCUGAGGAGCGAAAGUGUGGGGAGCGAAC